AGUGAACGCUGGCGGUAGGCCUAACACAUGCAAGUCGAACGGCAGCACAGUAAGAGCUUGCUCUUACGGGUGGCGAGUGGCGGACGGGUGAGGAAUACAUCGGAAUCUACUUUUUCGUGGGGGAUAACGUAGGGAAACUUACGCUAAUACCGCAUAUGACCUACGGGUGAAAGCAGGGGAUCUUCGGACCUUGCGCGAUUGAAUGAGCCGAUGUCGGAUUAGCUAGUUGGCGGGGUAAAGGCCCACCAGGGCGACGAUCCGUAGCUGGUCUGAGAGGAUGAUCAGCCACACUGGAACUGAGACACGGUCCAGACUCCUACGGGAGGCAGCAGUGGGGAAUAUUGGACAAUGGGCGCAAGCCUGAUCCAGCCAUACCGCGUGGGUGAAGAAGGCCUUCGGAUUGUAAAGCCCUUUUGUUGGGAAAGAAAAGCAGCAGGUUAAUACCCCGCUGUUCUGACGGUACCCAAAGAAAAAGCACCGGCUAACUUCGUG
rnacentral:rRNA from 1 species